GACGAACGCUGGCGGCGUGCCUAAUACAUGCAAGUCGAACGCACAGUUUAUACCGUAGCUUGCUACACCAUAAACUGUGAGUUGCGAACGGGUGAGUAACGCGUAGGUAACCUGCCUGGUAGCGGGGGAUAACUAUUGGAAACGAUAGCUAAUACCGCAUAAUAUUAAUUAUUGCAUGAUAAUUGAUUGAAAGAUGCAAUUGCAUCACUACCAGAUGGACCUGCGUUGUAUUAGCUAGUAGGUGAGGUAACGGCUCACCUAGGCGACGAGACAUAGCCGACCUGAGAGGGUGAUCGGCCACACUGGGACUGAGACACGGCCCAGACUCCUACGGGAGGCAGCAGUAAGGAAUCUUCGGCAAUGGACGAAAGUCUGACCGAGCAACGCCGCGUGAGUGAAGAAGGUUUUCGGAUCGUAAAGCUCUGUUGUAAGAGAAGAACGGGUGUGAGAGUGGAAAGUUCACACUGUGACGGUAUCUUACCAGAAAGGGACGGCUAACUACGUG
rnacentral:rRNA from 1 species